rnacentral:rRNA from 1 species
CGUGCCUUUCUCUACGGAAUAGCCUCGGGAAACUGAGAGUAAUACCGUAUACGCCCUUCGGGGAAAGAUUUAUCGGAGAGAGAUCGGCCCGCGUUAGAUUAGAUAGUUGGUGGGGUAAUGGCCUACCAAGUCUACGGUCUAUAGCUGGUUUUAGAGGAUGAUCAGCAACACUGGGACUGAGACACGGCCCAGACUCCUACGGGAGGCAGCAGUGGGGAAUCUUAGACAAUGGGCGCAAGUGAUCUAGCCAUGCCGCGUGAGUGAUGAAGGCCUUAGGGUCGUAAAGCUCUUUCGCCAGGGAUGAUAAUGACAGUACCUGGUAAAGAAACCCCGGCUAACUCCGUGCCAGCAGCCGCGGUAAUACGGAGGGGGUUAGCGUUGUUCGGAAUUACUGGGCGUAAAGCGCACGUAGGCGGAUUAGUAAGUCAGAGGUGAAAUCCCGGGGCUCAACCCCGAACUGCCUUUGAUACUGCUAGUCUUGAGUUCGAGAGAGGUGAGUGGAAUUCCGAGUGUAGAGGUGAAAUUCGUAGAUAUUC